AUUGAACGCUGGCGGUAUGCUUAAGACAUGCAAGUCGAACGGUAACAGGUUAAGCUGACGAGUGGCGGACGAGUGAGUAACGCGUGGGAAUCUACCUUGUAGUGGGGGAUAAGCCAGGGAAACUUGGACUAAUACCGCAUACGCCCUAAGGGGGAAAGGCGCAAGUCGCUAUAAGAUGAGCCCGCGUCUGAUUAGGUAGUUGGUGGGGUAAAGGCCUACCAAGCCGACGAUCAGUAGCUGGUCUGAGAGGAUGAUCAGCCACGUCGGGACUGAGACACGGCCCGGACUCCUACGGGAGGCAGCAGUCGGGAAUAUUGGACAAUGGGGGAAACCCUGAUCCAGCAAUACCGCGUGUGUGAAGAAGGCCUGCGGGUUGUAAAGCACUUUCAGUUGGGAAGAUAAUGACGUUACAACAGAAGAAGCACCGGCUAACUCCGUG
rnacentral:rRNA from 1 species